rnacentral:lncRNA from 1 species
CUCUCGCCGGCGGGCCGGCUUUCUACGCGGGGGCAGCGAGGCUGGCUCAGCACCCCGGGCCUCCUCUUGCAACCCUCGGGAAUGGCCGGCCGCCCCACUGAAAGCGCUGGGGAACCGAGAGGUGUCUUAGAAAGCUGCAUGAGUGGCAGAACGGUGGCUACUAUGACAGAGAGGCCGCCGUGGGCGAAGAGGGAGUGUGACAUUCUUCAGAAUUCAUCCUGGAAUCAAUAUUAUGCCAAAGAAAAUUUUCUGAAAGCUACACAGAUCAUACCACUGCAACUCAGCCAACCAGCACAUCGGACAGUGGGAGGAGGAAUUCUUGGCUAAGAGUACUGAGGAAAAGUUGGCUGACUCUUGGUCUGAAUUGAAAUAUUCCUCCUUUGACCAAUACCAUGAAUAAAAAAAGAACCAGACCAAGGACAUUACUGUGAGUUUUCAGAACAUCAGAGAUAAAGAGAAAAACCUGAGAUUCCACAGAGAAACGAAGGUCAUUUUACAAAGGAUCAGAAAUGAGAAUGGGAUUGAACUUCUCAAAACCAGCAGUGGAGAGUACAAGAAAGUAGAGCAUUGCCCUCAAUAUACUGCAGGGAAAACAACUUUCAACGUGGAAUUUAAUCCAGUGUAAGGAUAGAAUAGAGUGUUUUUAGACAGCCAUGUCUCAAAAAUUGUACUUUUUGUCUUCUGCAGAGGAGAUGAUUCAGUGCAAUAAGGAAAUAAACCAAGACAUGAAAGAUAUGGAG